UUAUCUUCGUUGCCGAAAAAAAUCCGAAGAUAUGUACUGCCGAAGAUAUACAUAUAUAUAUGUAAAAAAAACACGAGGAAAAAAAAUUACGAAAAGCUGUAAAGAGCAUUAGCUUUGUGCAAUUACGCCAACGUCGCGACGGCCGACGCUUUUCCAACGAGACGGCUGCUCCUUCGUGUGGAAAUGAACAGUUUCCGGCGUGUUGAGAAACCCUAUAAAAAUUGAAUCGGGAUCGAGAUUCGGUUGUGUAAUUGCACUUUGCGAAAUAAAAUGCGUGGCACGUUUGGAAAAGCGUCGUCCCACCAGCAGCUCUGAGCUAGCUAACAGAAGUAAAAAAAACAGGUAAAUGCGUGUAUCAGCUACAAAGAAAAAGAAAGAAUCAAAAUUAAUAUUGUUAAGUUCGAAUAAGAAUGAUUUAAUUAAAAUAAAUGAUAAAUUAGAAAGAGAAAAACAGAUAAUAGAACGUAAAUUUACGAGGUGUGCGGGAUCGUCUCGUCGGGACGAAUUGAACUUCGGAUUGACUCGGCAAUAAUCGGUCGCGUUCGGCUGAAAGCCUCGAUAGCUGGUGCCUCGAACCGAUCGCGUCCGAUUAGUGCCGUGUCGAAGUUACGACUGUCGUGCGAAAUGAAUCUCGAGCGUUACGAAUGUCGAGACGUGAUUCGAUCUUGCCCGAUCUCGUCCGAAUUUUGCCGAAUUCCCGUUAAUUCAGGAUCCUGCACAUCUCUUACGUAAAUAGAACGAAAUAUCGGUACCGAUUCCGAUAGAUUAAGAGAAAUAGAAACAGAGGGACCUUAAUAAUUAAGUGCCGGCCUUUAUGAAAAUAAAUCUCACCGUGACCUGUGUGUGCAACCUUUCUACUCGAUCAGUAGUAGCCUGUGGCGUUAGUUUUUCACGGCACGAUUGCGAUCGAAAAGAAAAAAAGUACAAAAAGAUACGAGAAAUAAUUAAAAAAUAUAUAUAUAUAUAUAAAGAAAAAAGAAAUAAUGAGAUUCUAAUAAUAAUGAAAAAACAGAAUUAAAAAAGGUCACUUAUACGAUAUGCAAAGACUAUUUUGUUUCUUGCAAGCGGCAUGUAUGCACUACGGAAACGUUCGUAAUUCUUCAAAGAGGAAAAGAAAC